CGUCCUUCAUAACACAUGGCGGCGUUUGGUCUUCUCUUCUUCUCUAAAGCAAAAAAAAAAGAUUUGAGAAGAGAAGGAAAGAAGAAGAAGAAUGGAUUAUCGGACUGCGUCUUUUAUCGGACUCUCUGUUCUCUACAAGGAUUACAAAUUAAUUGUGAUGGGCUGCUCACGAAUCGAUUUCAUAGCCACAUAUUUGUUAAUACUGCGUCUUUUCCUUGGUCAAUUUCUCUGUUCUCUGCGUCUUUUUCUUGGUCGCUCACGAAUCGAUUUCUCAGCAGAAGAGCUUCGGGGACUUGAUUUGCAGACAGGUUCGUUCACAUUGAAACAAAUCAAACGUGGUACUAAUAACUUUGAUCCAGAAAACAAGAUUGGUGAAGGAGGAUUUGGACUGGUUUAUAAGGUGAUCAUGAUUGCUUUGGUUUUACACAUCUUCACAACUUUCUUUGAGUUUGGAUUAUAAUUAGUGGAGUGGCCAACGAGGAACAAGAUAUGCUUAGGGAUUGCGAAAGGAUUGUCUUAUCUACACGAGGAAUCAAGGCUGAAGAUUGUUCAUCGAGACAUUAAAGCGACAAAUGUGCUUCUUGAUCUGUCUCUAAAUUCUAAGAUCUCUGAUUUUGGUCUAGCCAAGCUCGACGAGGAAGAGAAUACACAUAUCAGCACAAGGAUUGCAGGGACAAUAGGUUACAUGGCUCCAGAGUCCAGAGUAUGCAAUGAGGGGUUACUUAACAGACAAAGCAGAUGUUUACAGCUUUGGUGUUGUCUGUUUAGAGAUUGUUAGUGGAAAGAGCAAUACAAUUUACAGACCAAGAGAAGAGUUUAUUUACCUUCUUGAUUGGGCAUAUGUCUUGCAAGAACAAGGGAGUCUUCUAGAGCUUGUGGAUCUAGAUCUCGGUACAAGCUUUUCGAAGAAAGAAGCAAUGAGGAUGUUGAACAUAGCUUUACUUUGUACCAACCCAUCUCCGACACUGAGACCACCAAUGUCAUCUGUUAUAAGAAUGCUAGAAGGAAAAAUCAAAGUCCAACCACCAUUGUUUUUUUUUCAA